rnacentral:rRNA from 1 species
GGGUCCGCACAAGCGGUGGAGCAUGUGGUUUAAUUCGAUGAUACGCGAGGAACCUUACCAAGGCUUAAAUGUAAUAUGACCGGUUGAGAGAUCAACCUUUUUUCGAACAGAUUACAAGGUGCUGCAUGGUUGUCGUCAGCUCGUGCCGUGAGGUGUCGGGUUAAGUCCCAUAACGAGCGCAACCCCUAUUUUUAGUUACCAGCGAGUAAUGUCGGGAACUCUAGAAAAACUGCCUGUGCAAACAGAGAGGAAGGUGGGGAUGACGUCAAAUCAUCACGGCCCUUACGCCUAGGGCUGCACACGUACUACAAUGCCCAGUACAAUGUGAACCGAUACCGCAAGGUGGAGGAAAUCCUUAAAACUGGGCUCAGUUCGGAUUGUGGGCUGCAACUCGCCCACAUGAAGCUGGAAUCGCUAGUAAUGGCACAUC